rnacentral:piRNA from 1 species
UCCUGAUCUUUCCUACUAACCUAGUGUCU